AGUGAACGCUGGCGGUAGGCCUAACACAUGCAAGUCGAACGGCAGCACAGUAAGAGCUUGCUCUUACGGGUGGCGAGUGGCGGACGGGUGAGGAAUACAUCGGAAUCUACUUUUUCGUGGGGGAUAACGUAGGGAAACUUACUCUAAUACCGCAUACGACCUACGGGUGAAAGCAGGGGAUCUUCGGACCUUGCGCGAUUGAAUGAGCCGAUGUCGGAUUAGCUAGUUGGCGGGGUAAAGGCCCACCAAGGCGACGAUCCGUAGCUGGUCUGAGAGGAUGAUCAGCCACACUGGAACUGAGACACGGUCCAGACGCCUACGGGGGGCAGCAGUGGGGAAUAUUGGACAAUGGGCGCAAGCCUGAUCCAGCCAGACCGCGUGGGUGAAGAAGGCCUUCGGGUUGUAAAGCCCUUUUGUUGGGAAAGAAAAGCAGCAGGUUAAUACCCCGCUGUUCUGACGGUACCCAAAGAAUAAGCACCGGCUAACUUCGUG
rnacentral:rRNA from 1 species